rnacentral:lncRNA from 1 species
AAACUUGGUUAUCAUACAUGGAUUGGAUCUCGCUAUCCAUUGCCUCUUUCCAUUUUGCAGACUCCGGGCCUGCCAUGGCUUCCUUAUAGCUAUUAGGUUCAUCAAGAUUUAUUAGUGUACCAUCACUAAUAUACGUGUCCCCUUCGGUAGUAAUAUGAAAACCAUAAAACUGGGGUUGAACUCUAACUCUAUCGGAACGUCUAAGAGGUAAGGAUUCGUCAAUCGGUUCAACCGGAGUUUCCUCCUCGGGUUGAGUGCCAGCGGUAGAGGUUCCUUCAUCUAUCGACUCUUGAAUCUCUUCAAGCUCGAUUUGCCUCCCACUGUCUCCUUGGCUUAUGAGUUCUCGCUCUCGGAAAACUCCUCUCCUCGCAACGAAGACAACAUUGUCCUUCGGUCUAUAGAAGAGAUAUCCAAAGGAUGUCUGCGGGUAGCCGAUGAAAAUACAUCGCUCACUUCGAGGUUCAAGCUUGUCGUGAGUAUCUCGUCUUACGAAAGCCUCGCAACCCCAAACCUUGAUAUGUGCCAACGAGGGAGCUUUCCCUGUCCACAUCUCGUGAGGUGUUUUGGCAACCUUCUUAGUAGGGACUCGGUUAAGGAUAUGGGCGGCAGUCUCUAAGGCAUACCCCCAAAAAGAGAUAGGUAGUGAAGCACGACUCAUCAUAGAGCGAACCAUAUCCAAUAAGGUUCGAUUACGCCUUUCUGCCACACCAUUCAACUGCGGUGUCCUAGGAGGCGUCAAUUGCGAAACUAUUCCACACUCCUUGAGAUAAUCGUGGAAUUCAAGACUUAGGUACUCUCCUCCUCGAUCGGAUCGAAGCAUCUUGAUUUUCCUGCCCAAUUGAUUCUCCACUUCAUUCUUGAACUCUUUGAACUUUUCAAAGGUUUCUGACUUUUGCUUGAUUAAGUAGAUAUACCCAUAUCUACUAUAGUCAUCGGUAAAAGUCACAUAGAAGCGGUUCCCAUCCUUCGUGGUUGAUCUAAACGGUCCACAUACAUCGGUAUGUAUUAGGUCCAAUAGACCCUCGCCCCUUUCACAUGUACUCGUGAAGGGUGACUUAGUCAUCUUUCCAAGCAAACAAGACUCGCAUGUGUCAUCUUCCCUAAGGUCGAAUGACUCCAACACUCCAUCCUUUUGGAGUUGGGCUAUGCGUUUCUUGUUGACAUGUCCAAGACGACAAUGCCACAAGGAUGCUUUAUCCAUACUAGUGGAAGAAUCAAUAUUCAAAACAUCAUUUCCUAAGUUAUCAACAAUCAUAACGGUUUCAUAUAUUCCAUUACAUGGUAUAGCUUCAAAGUAAAAGACACCAUUUAGAUAAGCCAAAAUAGAACCAUUCUCAUUAUUAAAAGAAAAUCUAAAUCCUUGUCUAUAUAAACCAUGAAAUGAAAUGAUGUUUCUUGCCAUUUCUGGCGAAUAGCAACAAUUGUUCAAAUCUAAAACUAAACUAUUCCUAAGCACUAAGGAAUACACUCCAAUCUUGGUCACAGGCGACGAUCUUCUGUUCCCCAUGAUUAGAUUGAUCCUUCCUUGCUCCACAUCCCUACUUCUUCUUAGUCCCUGCACAUUAGAACAAAUGUGAUAACCACAACCGGUAUCAAGAACCCAAGAAAUAGCAUGAUUAGAAUCGUUAGAUUUGAUUGUAUAUAUACCUGCGAAAGAUGGCUUGAUCUUUCCUUCUUUGAUUGCUUGCAGGUAAUCCGGGCAGCUUCUCUUCCAAUGUCCUAUCUUGUGGCAGUGGUGGCACUCUGCCUCCUUCGGGUUAGAGCAGGGCUUGGCGGGAUCAACUUUGGUCCCACUAGAAGAGGCACCAUCUCGGGCUUUCACCUUGCGAUAGUUCUUCGAUGAAGCUUUCCUCUUCUUUCCCUUCCCUUGUCCAAUAGCCAAGACAGGAGCAGCGGGCGGAUUGGGAGUAGGUGCAACAGACUUGUCUUUGAAGUUGCUCUCAGCAACCCUCAAGAGACCUUGGAGCUUGCUUAGGGUGACCUCUUCUUUGUUCAUGUGGUAGGUCAUCCUAAAUUGGUUGUACAUCGGAGGCAAAGAGUGAAGCACCAUGUCGAUCGCCAAGUCUUCACCGAAGUCAACAUUUAACUUGCGGAGGCGGUCAACAUACCUUUGCAUCUUUUGCAAGUGCACGGUAAGAGAUUCUCCAUGACCCAUCUUCGCGGAAAUCAUGUUAGUGAAAAUCUCGUACCUCUCUUGUCUCGCGUUUUGGUGGUACCUCUCCAAUAAGUCUUGAUGCAUCUCGUACGGGUACAUGUCCUCGUAGGACUUUUGGAAUUCGGAGUUCAUGGUGGCGAUCAUGAUGCAAUGUACCUUCGUUGCAUCUCGCUCAUGAGUUUCAAAGGCGGUGAUUUCGGCGGGAGUAGCAAUUUCGGGGUUGAUUUUCUCGAGCUUCUCAUCGAGGACAUACUCCUUAUCCUCAUAGCGAGCAAUGGUGCGAAUGUAUCUUAUCCAUUCGCUAAAGUUCGUUCCAUCGAAGGUGACCUUUUGGCAAAGGCUCAUCAACGUGAAAGAACUAGCAGCAGCGUUGUUUGCGUUCGACAUCUACAAUUAGAAAAGGACAAAGAUAGAUUAGAAUAAGAAUCCCUAAUUAUCACCCAAUAAGAAAAUUAGGGCUAGGAUCCAACAAUAACAUUUACAUACUAGAAAAGGGAUGCCGUAAUCUAACAUGCAAAUAAAUUGAAGGUAAGUGAAUGACGAUUCACUAAUUCUCCAUCACAAAACUUAAACUAUUAGUCCUAAGUGUUUUUGAGAAUUCCUAGGUUCGGAUGAGAUUCAUUGAAACUAUUCAAUGGCAUGUUUAAAUCUCGAUAUGCCCCUCUUGUUUGUGACUGGGAUGCCGAGGAUCACAAAGCGGGUGUGAAUUACCAUGCAAAUUCACAUGGUGCCUUCAUUGUAACAAUCACCUAUUCGAUGUGCCGGUAAACCACACACGCUCCAUCGAACUAUGAUAAACAAUGAAUCACCCUUUGCCACCUUCGCUUAGAACCAAUUAGUGUGCCGGUAAACCACACACGCUCCACUAACAUCUUAGCAAGGUGCAAAGUGUAAUUUCAUGGGAUUGCAUCAAUUCACUUUUCCUAAAGUAACUAGGAUUGGGAAAUUUUAAAAAAAUGUGUAGUUACUUUAUAUUUCUUAUUAUACUUUUAAUGAGAGGAUGAGGUUGCCCUAUCCUACCCGUUCGGCUAACGACCCUCCACCAAUCAAGCAAGCGGUGGGUGUGAGUGUACACCCAUUAAGCGCCAUUUUAUAGGCCGCAACCUUAUACCCACCUUAUAGAUCGGCUUCGUGAAUGAGGCCUACUAACGGUAAGACUAGCAUUUAGUUAUACAUAUAUAUAUUAUUCUAGUAAUAUCAUAUUAGUAUAGGGUUGUAUUUUAAAACUUUUAAAAUCUAGGGUUUGAAAUUUAAGUUGUCUAAAUUAAAACUUUUAAUCACAAAAGUAAAUUUCAAAACAUGAGGGUAGGUUUUAAACAUUUAAAACAUGGAGGAUCAAAUAACAAAUAAUUCCAAUUAACAAUUAAUAUCCUAAUUAUCUAUAUUUGAUUUAUUCAAGAUUUCUUUUAAAGAUAAUUACCAAAAUAAUCAAAAUAAUUAAUUAAUUAUCAUAUAAGGAAAUUAAAUAUUUAAUUAGUUGAUAAUUACCUUUAACUAGAUCAAGAUAAUAGUUAUAUUUAUCAGAAAAACGAAUUAAUGUUGAUCUAAUUAGUUUAUGGUAAGUUAAGAUAAGAUAAACACAAAGAAAUCCCGAAUCUGGCCAUUCCUGACGCCUGGACUCGCCGAGUGCACAAAUGGACUCGCCGAGUCAGGCCUACUCGCCGAGUCCACUUUGAGACUCGCCGAGUCCAUGACUCAGAAACCAAAAAUUCGAAUUUUGCAGGUUUGUUUCAGUUAAUCAAGCAACAAUUUACAGAAAACCAAGCUAGGCUCUGAUACCACUGAUGGGUUUUAGCCAUAAGAACUUUCCUAUGUGCGCAUGCAAAACCCUAAUGCUUGGAUCUAGGCUUUCUAAUAAACAUGCUUUGAAUCCAAGACUUCUAAUUACUAAUUAGGUUAAACAAGAACAUUAAAACAGAUCUAGAAUCAUACCUUUGAGUUCCUUGUUGAUCUUGAGGUCUUGGAGCUUCUAGAGUCACAAAUGUCACUCCUCUAAUGGCUUACAAACACCAAAGCAAGGAGGAUGAUUUGGGAGAGAGGAGAGGGGAGGAAUUUCGACCAGAGGUUCCUUACUUUAGGUCAAGUGUCGAAUUCCAUCAGCCAUGGGGUCUAUUUAUACUUGUAGACUCCUUAAGGAUUACAGAUAAGUCCCUAUCAGAUAAUCUUCUCUUAAGGCUAUCCAAAUCCAUUCCUAGAUAACUCUAAUGGACGAUUUUAGCUAUCCUAAUCCUCUUAGAAUUCGUCCAUAGUAUAUCCAAAUGGAUUUACAGUUUAAAGCUUAACUAUCAAACAAUUGACAGUUUAUACCCCUUUAUUUAAUUAAUCUCUUUAAGUCACCAAAUUAAUUCUAAUUAAUUCUAUGACUUAUAUUAAUCAAAUAACAAAUAUAUUAUUCAUUAUAUUAUUCCCAUAAUAUAUUAAUAAUAUUUAUUCUCUCUUAAUAAAUCAUCCUAUCAAGUUGCUAUGGUGAAGGCAACCCAAAAGGACCAUGCACAACCGGAUAUAGUUACAGCCUUAGACACUAUUCCAACAGUCUCCCACUUGGAUAAGUCUAGUAACUAUACAAGUACAAUUCGGUUUGCAAUCGUAGCUCUCAAAGACGCUGUCAACUCUGAUCUAAUCAAUCUUGUCCUUUAGAUAAGGGAACGUACAGUCCUCUGUUAGAUAUCAUGCUGACAAUCCUAUGGAAUGGUUAGUCAAGCAUUUAGGUUUCUCGAUCUCUGAUUUAUUUGACAUAGAACUUAAUCGAACACAUCAAUUCAGUUCUGACCGGGCCCGGCACAUAAGUCAAAUCAAAUCAUCGAGCGGCCGAGAUAUCGCUUUUACCUUCUUAGAUAAAAGUUACAGAUAAACUUCGACUUAUAUGCAUUUACUUAUUCAUUAACCAACUAUACACAACAAUACGUUUUAUAACACCAAGUUACUGAUGCGUUUUCGUAUUAUCAAUGUACAAUCAAUUAACAAAUAAUAAACCAUAUAUCUAGGUUUUAAGACUAUAUGAUAUUAUCGUCUUGCGAUCACCUUUUAUAUCGUAUUCCAUAAGGUGAUUCCAGCAAGCGCGGGUUUAUUCCAAUGCUCAAAACUAGUUCAUAAGCACUCAUGAACGUUGCAGCAAUCCUUUGCUAUGUCUAACACCAUUUAGACAUUCUACACACCAAUUCAUGACAAUCUUCUUUCAUAUCUACUCCCAACAUAUGAACGAUUGUGGACCAUUUGAAUAAUUCGAUUAUUCCUAAUAAACUCAAUUAUUCUGGAAGUCAAAACAUGCAAAGUGAAACAAUAGCUAAACAAUUAACAUAAGAUAGUAACAUUACUCAUAAAUAAAACUCCUUUAUUUAAUCAUCAAAUGUCAAUUACAUUUAUCUAUUACACGUUUCUAAUACUAUCUAAUCUAUGCUAAUAUCAUCCUUCAGCCCAAUACUCCUAGCAUGCUGCAAGUGCUUAACCCUACUCAGUCCCUUCGUAAGCGGAUCUGCUGGGUUAUCUUCUGAUGAUAUCCUCUUCACUACGAGUUGUCCUUCUUCUACACGAUGUCUAAUGAAGUGAUACUUUCUGUCGAUAUGUCUUGAUCUACCAUGAUCCCUCGGUUCCUUGGUUAAGGCAACCGCACCUUCGUUAUCACAGAAAAUCUCCAUUGGCUCCUUUAUGGCAGGUACGACUCCAAGAUCACCGAUGAAGUUCUUUAGCCAUAUUGCCUCCUUCGACGCUUCGCUCGCUGCAAUGUACUCUGAUUCGCACGUUGAAUCAGCUACGGUUUCCUGCUUGGAACUCUUCCAUGUCACUGCUCCUCCAUUUAGGGUAAAGACCCAGCCCGACUGCGAACGGUAGUUGUCCCUGUCGGUCUGAAAACUGGCGUCACUAUACCCUCGCACCUUCAAGUCAUCACUCCCUCCGAGGACUAAGAACCAUUCCUUCGUCCUCCGAAGGUACUUAAGGAUAUUCUUCACCGCAAUCCAAUGUGCUUUGCCAGGAUUCCCUUGAUAUCUGCUAACCAUGCUCAAAGCGAAGGCUACAUCAGGGCGAGUACAAGUCAUAGCGUACAUGAUUGAGCCAACUGCGGAAGCGUAUGGUACUCGGCUCAUUUCUGCUAUCUCAGCUUCGGUACUCGGACUUUGAGUCUUACUCAAUUUGGCAUUACUUUGUAUCGGUAGUUCUCCCUUCUUUGAGUUUUCCAUACUAAAACGUUUUAGUACCUUCUCUAAGUAAGUAUUCUGACUAAGUCCAAUUAGUCUCUUACUUCUUUCUCUUACUAUCCUUAUUCCCAAAAUGUAAGAAGCCUCUCCGAGGUCCUUCAUAGCGAAGCACUUCCCGAGCCAGGACUUAACCUCCUGCAGAGUCGGGAUGUCGUUUCCUAUGAGUAAUAUGUCAUCGACAUAUAGAACGAGGAAGCUUACUAUACUCCCACUGGCUUUGACAUAUACACAAGAUUCGUCUUCGCUUCGUACAAAUCCAAACUCUUUGACUUUCUCAUCGAAGCAAAGAUUCCAUCUGCGAGACGCUUGCUUAAGUCCAUAAAUGGACUUCUCAAGCUUACACACUCUAUUCGGAUGCUUCGGAUCCACAAACCCCUCUGGCUGAGCCAUGUAAACAUCCUCAGCCAACUUUCCGUUAAGGAAAGCGGUCUUGACAUCCAUUUGCCAAAUCUCAUAAUCAUGAAAUGCGGCAAUUGCUAGCAUCACUCUAAUAGAUUUAAUCUUCGCAACUGGUGAGAAGGUCUCAUCAUAGUCAACUCCGGGAGUUUGAGUAAAGCCCUUCGCAACCAAUCGCGCUUUAUAUGUGUGUACGUUUCCAUCCACGUCGGUCUUCUUCUUGAAGAUCCAUUUGCACCCAACGGUCUUACGUCCGGGCACAUUAUCAACCAAAUUCCAAACUUGGUUGUCAUACAUGGACUGGAUCUCGUUGUCCAUUGCCUCUUUGCAUUUUGCAGACUCCGAGCCUGCCAUGGGUUCCUUAUAGCUAUUAGGUUCAUCUUGGUUUAUUAGUGUACCAUCACUAAUAUAUGUGUCCCCUUCGGUAGGAAUAUGAAAACCAUAAAACUGGGGUUGAACUCUAGCACUUUAGGAACGUCUAAGAGGUAAGGACUCGUCAAUCGGUUCAACCGGAGUUUCCUCCUCCGGUUGAGUGCCAGCGGUAGAGGUUCCAUCAUCAAUCGACUGUUGAAUCUCUUCAAGCUCGAUUUUCCUCCCACUGUCUCCUUGGAUUAUGAGUUCUCGCUCUCGGAAAACUCCUCUCCUUGCAACAAAGACAACAUUGUCCUUCGGUCUAUAGAAGAGAUAUCCAAAGGAUUUCUGCGGGUAGCCGAUGAAAAUACAUCGCUCACUACGAGGUUCGCGCUUGUCGUGAGUAUCUCGUCUUACGAAAGCCUCGCAACCCCAAACCUUGAUAUGUGCUAACGAGGGUGCCUUCCCUGUCCACAUUUCGUGAGGUGCUUUGGCAACCUUCUUAGUAGGGACUCGGUUAAGGAUAUGGGCGGCAGUCUCUAAGGCAUACCCCCAGAAUGAGAUAGGUAGUGAAGCACGACUCAUCAUAGAAUGAACCAUGUACAAGAAGGUUCGAUUACGCCUUUCUGCCACACCAUUCAACUGCGGUGUCCUAGGAGGCGUCAAUUGUGAAACUAUUCCACACUCCUUGAGAUAAUCGUGGAAUUCAAGACUUAGGUACUCUCCUCCUCGAUCGGAUCGAAGCAUCUUGAUUUUCCUGCCCAAUUGAUUCUCCACUUCAUUCUUGAACUCUUUGAACUUUUCAAAGGUGUCUGACUUUUGCUUGAUUAAAUAGAUAUACCCAUAUCUACUAUAAUCAUCGGUAAAAGUCACGUAGAAGCGGUUCCCAUCCUUCGUGGUUGAUCUAAACGGUCCACAUACAUCGGUAUGUAUUAGGUCCAAUAGACCCUCACCCCUUUCACACGUACUCGUGAAGGGUGACUUAGUCAUCUUUCCAAGUAAACAAGACUCGCAUGUGUCAUCUUCCCUAAGGUCGAAUGACUCCAACACUCCAUCCUUUUGGAGUUGGGCUAUGCGUUUCUUGUUGACAUGUCCAAGACGACAAUGCCACAAGGAUGCUUUAUCCAUACUAGUGGAAGAAUCUAUGUUCAAAACAUCAUUUCCUAAGUUAUCAACAAUCAUAACAGUUUCAUAAAUUCCAUUACAUGGUAUAGCUUCAAAGUAAAAGACACCAUUUAGAUAAGCCAAAAUAGAACCAUUCUCAUUAUUAAAAGAAAAUCUAAAACCUUGUCUAUAUAAACCAUGAAAUGAAAUGAUGUUUCUAGCCAUUUCUGGCGAAUAGCAACAAUUGUUCAAAUCUAAACAUAAAUUAUUCCUAAGCACUAAAGAAUACACUCCAAUCUUGGUCACAGGCGACGAUCUUCUGUUCCCCAUGAUUAGAUUGAUUCUUCCUUGCUCCACAUCCCUACUUCUUCUUAGUCCCUGCACAUUAGAACAAAUGUGGUAACCACAACCGGUAUCAAGAACCCAAGAAAUAGCAUGAUUAGAAUCGUUAGAUUUAAUUGUAUAUAUACCUGCGAAAGAUGGCUUGAUCUUUCCUUCCUUGAUAGCUUGCAGGUAUUCUGGGCAGCUUCUCUUCCAAUAUCCUAUUUUGUGGUAAUGGUGGCACUCUGCCUUCUUUGGGUUAGGACAGGGUUUAGCAGGAUCAACUUUGGUCCCACUAGAAGAGGCACCAUCUCGGGACUUAACUUUGCGAUGGUUCUUAGACGAAGCCUUCCUCUUCUUUCGUCUUCCUUGCCCAAUGGCCGAAACAGGAGUAGCGGGUGGUUUGGGAAUUGGUGCAACAGACUUGUCCUUGAGGUUGCUCUCAGCAACCCUUAGGAGACCUUGGAGUUUGCUUAGGGUGACCUCUUCCUUGUUCAUGUGGUAGGUCAUCCUAAAUUGGUUGUAACACGAAGGCAAGGAGUGAAGCCCCAUGUCGAUUGCCAAGUCUUCCCCAAAGUCAACAUUCAACUUGCGAAGACGAUCGACAUACCUUUGCAUCUUUUGCAGGUGCACGGUUAAAGAUUCUGCAUGACCCAUCAUAGCGGAGAUAAUGUUAGUGAAGAUCUCAUAACGUUCCUGCCUCGCGUUUUGAUGGUAUCUCUCCAAUAAGUCUUGGUGCAUUUCGUACGGAUACAUGUACUCAUAGGACUUUUGGAAUUCGGAGUUCAUUAUGGCUAUCAUGAUGCAAUGAACCUUCGUUGCAUCACGUUCAUGAGUCUCAAAAGCAGUCAUUUCAGCCGGAGUAGCGAUUUCUGGGUUGAUCUUCUCGAGCUUCUCAUCGAGGACAUACUCCUUGUCCUCGUAGCGAGCAAUGGUGCGAAUGUAUCUUAUCCAUUCGCUAAAGUUCGUCCCAUCGAAAGUCACCUUUUGGCAAAGGCUCAUCAAUGUGAAUGAACUCGCAGCAACGUUGUUUGUGUUCGACAUCUACAAAUAGAAAGGACAAAGAUAGAAAAUGGAUCCAACAACAUUAUUUACAUGUUAGAAAAUGGAUGCCGUAAUCCAACAUGCAAACAAUUUGAAGGUAAGUGAAUGACGAUUCACUAAUUCUCCACCACGAAAACAUAACAUUAAGUUCUAAAUGUAUUGAGAAUUCCUAGGUUUCGAUGAGAUUCAUUGAACUUUUCAAUGGCAUGUUUAAAUCUCGAUAUGCCCCUCUCAUUUGUGACUGGGAUACCGAGGAUCACAAAGUGGGUGUGAAUAACCAUGCAAAUAUACAUGGUGCCUUCAUUGUAACAAUUACCUAUUCGAUGUGCCGGUAAACCACACACGAUCCAUCGAACUAUGAUAAACAAUGAAUCACCCUUUACCACCUUUACUUAGAACCAAUUAGUGUGCCGGUAAACCACGCACGCUCCACUAACUUCUUAGCAAGGGUGCAAAGUGUAAUUUCAUGGGAUUGCAUCAAUUCACUUUUCCUAAAGUAACUAGGAUUGGGAAUUUUGAAAAACAUGUAGUUACUUUGUAUUCUUAUAUUAUACUUUUAAUGAGAAGAUGAGGUUGCCCUAUCCUACCCGUUCGGCUAACGACCCUCCACCAGUCAAGCAAGCGGUGGGUGUGAGUGUACACCCAUUAUGCGCCAUUUUAUAGGCAGCAACCUUAUACCCACCUUAUAGACUAGCUUCGUGAAUGAGGCCUACUAACGGUAAGACUAGCAUUUUAAAUAUACAUAUAUAUUUAUUAAGCUUGUAAUAAUAUAAUAGUAUAGGGUAUAUUUUAAACAUUUCAAAAUACUAGGGUUUUAAUUAAAAUUUUUCAAAAUUUAAUGCCAUUUAAAUUAAAAAUUUUAAAUAUUAAAACUCUUGAUUUAAUAAUUAUCUUAAAUUAAACUAUUAAUUUCAAAUUAUCAAAUCAUAAGGGAUUAUCUAAAUCAUAUGGAUAAUUACCAUUUAAACAUUUAAGUUAUCCUAAUCCCAUAAAUCCCUCUAUAAAUUUCGAAAAUAGGGAUGGGAUAAUUCAUGAUCUUUAAUUACCAUAUUUAACUAUUAAAGGAUAAUUACAAGAUAUGAGAUUAUCCAAAUCCCUAAAAUUUAGGAUCUUAUCUUGGGGAAGGAGGCAAAUCUCGAAAUCUAAGGGUUUGCAAACCCUAGAUUUCGAAAUCUUGGAUUAAAGGAAAGGAUUCAAAAAACCUUUUUACAAUUUUUGCAAAUUAGGGUUAGGAAACCCUAAUCUCGAAAUUUCCAUGCCUCGUAGGGUUUAACACAAGAAUAAAACCCUAAAGUAAAAUGCUAUUUUUGAAAUUAAUAUACAAGGUUAGAUUACAUACCUCUUGUUGUUAUAUUGCAAUAAAAACUUAAAUCUUCAAACCCUUAGUCUUGAAAGCAAGCACCACAAAUGUAGUGCCUCUAAUGGCUCACAAACACCACAAGCAAUUGAAGAGGCUUUAGAGAGAGAACGGAAGAGGUGGGAAUUCGUCCUUAGGACCUCUUAGGAGCAUGUACACGAAUUCUCAAGGCCUAGGGGUCUUUAUAUAGGGUUUAGAUUAGGGUUUCAAUCCUUAUCCUUAUCUAGUUGCUUGCCCAUCAAGCAACAACAAGGUAAGCCUUGAAAAACCCUUAUCUCUUGGACCUUGGACGAUUUUAAGGAUAUCCUUAUCCUUGAAUUCGUCCAUCCUUUAACAUGGAUAAUUAUUGCCCUAUCUUGCAACUAUCUCAUAAUUACAAUUCAGCCCCUCUAGUUUAAUUAAUUACACUUGAUCACAAAAUUAAUUCCUAAUUAAUUAUUGACCAAUAUUAAUUAAACAAAUAUGAUUUUUCCUUGAAUAUAUUAUUCUUAUAACAUAUUAAUAAAUCAUAAUAACCUCUCUCUCUAUUUAAUUUCUCCAAUCAAGUUGCCUUGGUGAAGGCAACCCAAAAGGACCAUGCACAACUGGGCCAAGUACUUACCAAAUAUGCUUACGGGCUUAGACACUAAUCCAAUAGUCUCCCACUUGGAUAAGUCUAGUAACCACAAAUGCAACGUACAAAUCGAUUGGUAAUCGUAGCUCUCAAAGACGCUGUCAAACUCUAAUCUUAUUAGUAACCUGUCAUUUAGAUAAGGGAUCGUACAGUCCUCUGUUAAGAUAUUAUGCAGACAAUCUCAUGGAACUAGAUGUCCAGCAGUUGGUUUCUCGAUCUCAGAUUUAUUCGACAUAGAACUUAAUCGAACACAUCAAUUUAGUUCUGACCGGGCCCAGCACAUAAGUCAAAUCAAAUCAUCGAGCGGCUGUGAUAUCGCUUUUAUCCUCUUAGGAUAAAAGUAACAGAUAAACUUCGACUUAUAUGCAUUUACUUAUCCACUAAUCAACUAUACACAACAAUGCGUUUUAUAACAUCAAUUUACUGAUGCGGUUUUGCAUUAUCAAUGCACAAUCAAUUAGUAAAUAAUAAACCAUAUAUCUAGGUUUUAAGACCAUAUGAUAUUAUCGUCUUGAGAUCACCCUUUUUAUUACAUUCCAUAAGGUGAUCCCAGCAAACGUGGGUUUAUUCCAAUGCUCAAAACUUGUUCAUAAGCACUCAUGAACGUUGCAUCAAACCUUUGACAUGUCUAACACCUUUUAGACACUCUACAUACCAAUUCAUGACAAUCUUCAUUCAUAGCUACUUCCAACAUAUGAACGAUUGUGGACCAUUCGAAUAAUUCGAUUAUUCUUAAUAACUUAAUUAUUCAGGAAUUCAAAACAUGCAAAUUGAAACAAUAGUUAAACAAUUAACACAAGACAGUAACUUUACUUAUAAAUAAUACUCCUUUAUUUAAUCAUCAGAUGUCAAUUACAUUUAUCUAUUAUAUGUUUCUAAAACUAUCUAAUUUAAACUAGUAUCAUCCUUCAGCCCAAUGCUCCUAGCGUGCUGCAAGUGCUUAACCCUACUCAGUCCCUUCGUAUGUGGAUCUGCAGGGUUACUUAUGAUGAUAUCCUCUUAACCACGAGGUGUCCUUCUUCUAGUCAAUGUCUAAUAAAGUGAUACUUUCUGUCGAUAUGCCGAGAUCUACCAUGAUCCCUCGGCUCCUUGGUCAAGGCAACCGCUCCUUCAUUGUCACCGAAAAUUUCCAUAGGCUCCUUUAUGGUAGGCACAACUCCAAGGUGACCAAUGAAGUUCUUCAACCAUAUCGCCUCCUUUGACGCUUCGCUCGCUGCAAUGUACUCUGAUUCGCACGUUGAAUCGGCUACAGUUUCCUGCUUGGAACUUUUCCAAGUUACUGCUCCUCUAUUCAGGGUAAAGACCCAGCCCGACUGCGAACGGUAGUUAUCCUUGUCGAUCUGAAAACUGGCGUCACUAUACCCUCGCACCUUCAAGUCAUCACUCCCUCCGAGGACUAAAAACCAUUCUUUGGUCCUCCGAAGGUACUUAAGGACAUUCUUGACCGCAAUCGAAUGGGCUCUGCCAAGAUUCCCUUGAUAUCUACUAACCACGCUCAAAGCAAAGGCUACAUCAGGGCGAGUACAAGUCAUAGCAUACAAGAUUGAGCCAACUGCUGAAGCGUAUGGAAGUCGGCUCAUUUCUGCUAUCUCAGCUUCAGUACUCGGACUUUGAGUCUUACUCAACUUGGCAUUACUUUGUAUCGGGAAUUCUCCCUUCUUCGAAUUUUCCAUACUAAAAUGUUUUAGUACUUUAUCUAAGUAAGUGUUCUGACUAAGUCCUAUUAGUCUCUUACUUCGUUCGCUCACUAUCCUUAUUCCCAAAAUAUAGGAAGCCUCUCCGAGGUCCUUCAUAGCGAAGCACUUCCCGAGCCAGGACUUAACCUCCUGCAGAGUCGGGACGUCGUUUCCUAUGAGUAGUAUGUCAUCGACAUACAAAACAAGGAAGCUACCUAUACUCCCACUGGCUUUGACAUAUACACAUGAUUCAUCUUCACUUCCUACAAAUCCAUACUCUUUGACUUUCUCAUCGAAACAAAGAUUCCAUCUGCGAGACGCUUGCUUAAGCCCAUAAAUGGACUUCUCAAGCUUGCUCACUCUAUUCGGAUGCUUCGAAUCGACAAAACCCUCUAGCUGAGCCAUGUAAACAUCCUCAACCAACUUCCCAUUAAGAAAAGCGGUCUUGACAUCCAUCUGCCAUAUUUCAUAAUCAGGAAAUGCAGCAAUGGCUAGCAUCACCCUAAUAGACUUUAUUUUAGCAACUGGUGAGAAGGUCUCAACAUAAUCAACUCCGGGAGUUUGAGUAAAGCCCUUCGCAACCAAUCGCGCCUAAUAUGUGUGUACAUUUCCAUCCACGUCGGUCUUCUUCUUGAAGAUCCAUUUGCACCCAACGGUCUUACAUCCGGGCACAUUAUCAACCAAAUUCCAAACUUGGUUGUCAUACAUGGACUGGAUCUCGCUGUCCACUGCCUCUUUCCAUUUUGCAGACUUCGGGCCUGCCAUGGCUUCCUUAUAGCUAUUAGGUUCAUCUAGAUUUAUUAGUGUACCAUCACUAAUAUACUCUCCCCUUCGGUAGUAAUAUGAAAACCAUAAAACUGGGGUUGAACUCUAGCUCUUUCGGAACGUCUAAGAGGUAAGGACCCGUCAAUCGGUUCAACCGGAGUUUCCUCCUCGGGUUGAGUGCCAGCGGUAGAGGUUCCUUCAUCAAUCGACUCUUGAAUCUCUUCAAUAUCAAUUUGCCUCCCACUGUCUCCUUGGCUUAUGAGUUCUCGCUCUCGGAAUACUCCUCUCCUUACAACAAAGACAACAUUGUCCUUCGGUCUAUAGAAGAGAUAUCCAAAGGAUUUCUGCGGGUAGCCGAUGAAAAUACAUCGCUCACUUCGAGGUUCGAGCUUGUCGUGAGUAUCUCGUCUUACGAAAGCCUCGCAACCCCAAACCUUGAUGUGUGCCAACGAGGGAGCUUUCCCUGUCCACAUCUCGUGAGGUGUUUUGGCAACCUUCUUAGUAGGGACUCGGUUAAGGAUAUGGGCGGCAGUCUCUAAGGCAUACCCCCAGAAUGAGAUAGGUAGUGAAGCACGACUCAUCAUAGAGCGAACCAUAUCUAACAAGGUUCGAUUACGCCUUUCUGCCACACCAUUCAACUGCGGUGUCCUAG